rnacentral:lncRNA from 1 species
GGGUACUGCAAAGCAGCCCCUCAGAUGCUAACGAUUUCACCAGACGACCAGGAUAUUAUUAUUGUCUGAACUCAACUUCUAAGUGCCCUAGGAAACCUUUUAGUGGCUGAGAGUACGAUCACCAAGGAGGUGAGCUAGGUUUUCACAGUGUCAUUGAGAAGUCCCCAGGAAACCUAACCCCAGUGGCAAACCCCAGUGUGCCCUGGGGAGACACAGGACCUGGGCACCUCUUCUGGAUGCCACUGGGCAGGCACUUCCUGGAGAGCUGAUGAGGGUCAGUCAUUGGGGUCUACUCGAGGCCCCUCCUCCCACACUGGAGAGGGGCUGUUCUUACUGCUCACCAAUGCCGGACUUUAGUCCUGACGGGCGGUGAAGUGUGCUUCCAUCAGAUUUCAGGGGAAGAUCCAGCUGGGCUAUCAGGCUAACUCGCCACUGGCCCUGACCCAUCCCGAUGAAUCAUCCUGGUGAAAUGAACAUCAGAGGCAGCCUUGAAGGAGAAAAUGACAGCACACUAAGGCAGCCUGAUAGCAUCCGCCAAGAGGAGCCAACUCUUCUGCUCCUCCGGCCCCCCUGUGCCCAGCCGGCCCCUCCGGAGACACAACAACUGCUUCCCUGCCACAGACAAAGCAUCUUUCACCUUCCCGG